UAGUGCCCAGGGGCACCACAUUGUCUUAAUACGGGCCUGAUGGGGGGCAAUGUUUUGUACCCUCUUUGACAACUGAUGAUUUAAAAUGUUUUUUUUAUUUCCUAUUAACGGUGAGGUACAAUUUUGUGACUCAGAUUAGUGAUACCUAUCAACAGAAGAUCAAUUGUAGUUAUUUUUUGUUUCACCAUGGGUCCUACUGUGUCCCAUAUUUAGAAUUGCCGCAAAUGAGGACAAAAGAAAACAAAUGGUGUAAUACAAACUUUUCAGAUCUUAGUUUGCAAUUAAAUCACAUUGUAUCUGACUUUUCAGCCUCACCAAAUGAAAACGAGAAUUCCCAGGUGCAAACUUUUGUGUAAAUGAAAAAUGUGUUCUGAAAGGAAGGUUUAUCUUUAAAGCAAGGCAAACAGAUACAAGAUCAGUGAUCAGAAUGGCAAAAUAAAAGAUUAUUAUUAUCAAAAAGGUUAGAUCCAACUAUCUUUUAAAUUCAUGUGUUGGGCCCGGCUGUAACUGAUGCUUGUAUACAUUUUUAUGCUGAUGACUCCGUGGUUUACUGCCAUGCUGUGCUUAUGUGCCUACAGUCACCAUUUGACUCUUUUCAACCUGCCUUACUUCAUCUGAGACUAGUCCUAAAUGCUUCUAAUACAAAGUACCAUUGCUUUCAAUAAAGUCAUAUAUUGAACAUAUUGUAAAGCAGUUAAAGAUCAAACCAAGGUUUUUCUUCAUAAAUAGAUCUUGCUUUUCUUUCAGUGCAAGGAACCAUCUUGUCUCAUUGAUCUCCCUGCUUCUGUUAAAUUACUGUGAUGUGUUAUGUUUAUAUGAAUGCAUCUGCCAACUCUCUGCCUGUAUUGGAUGCAGUUUGUCAUGGAGCAUAUAUUCUCAGGUCAACUGGCUUGCAUUAUCAAUCUGUAGACUUUAGUGUUAAUAUUUUUAUCUAUAAAGUUAUUUUUGGAUUGUUCCUGCCAUGCUCAACCUCUUACCGGCCACUUAGACAGUCCAGCUACAGACUUCAUUCUCAGGGCUUUUUUCUCCUUCACCGCUCUGUUAAUAUAAUAAAAUAAAAAUGCAUUUUCUUACACUGCCCUGUAAAUUUGGACCACUCUACAGCAGGAUCUGAAGCUAUCCCCAUUGAUUCCAGUGGGACAAAGAAAAAUAAGAAAAUCUUAGGAAAUUUGCUCCUGUUUUUGGACAUUUUUUAUCAACCUAAUUUACUUGAGUUGAAUGUUUUCGAGUACAUUUUUUGUACUAUGUUUUUAGUUUAAAAAAAAUCAAAACAAGCCUUUCUUGUAAAUGAGAUCUUGGAUGUCAAUGAGACAAACUUUAUAAAUUAAGGACAUUUUAAAAGAAAAGCUCAUAAAAUACUUACAAGGAAUUGUUUAAAAGCAUGGUAAUUUUAGUCUGUGUAAACUUAUGAAUCUGAAGAAGGUAAUCAACUGAUUUUUUUAAAAGUGUAUUAUUCUUAUAUUAAGCAAAUAGAUUUAGAAAUUGUCAUUUAAAUGAAUUACAUUUCUUAUUUUACCUAAUUGACAUUUCUUUUGUAUUUUGGCCACCCUACCUGAUGUAAAAUAUGAAGAUAGUGAUGAAAUAUUUCUCCUUGUACAGUGUAUUUCAGCUAGACAGCAUCAUCGUGUUUAUCAGUUUUAACUUGCACACAGUUUUGGUUAUCUAGUCAUAAAAAACAUCAUCUGAUUUUCACGUCUGCCUAAAAACAAUUUGAUACGCUCAUACUUUUUGUAAUAUUAAAUUUAUUAAAAAGUCUUAUUGAAAA